CCUACGGGUGGCAGCAGUGAGGAAUAUUGGUCAAUGGCCGAGAGUCUGAACCAGCCAAGUCGCGUGAAGGAUGACUGCCCUAUGGGUUGUAAACUUCUUUUAUAAAGGAAUAAAACGAGGCACGUGUGCCUUUUUGCAUGUACUCUAUGAAUAAGGAUCGGCUAACUCCGUGCCAGCAGCCGCGGUAAUACGGAGGAUCCGAGCGUUAUCCGGAUUUAUUGGGUUUAAAGGGAGCGUAGGUGGGUUGUUAAGUCAGUUGUGAAAGUUUGAGGCUCAACCGUAAAAUUGCAAUUGAUACUGGCAGGCUUGAGUACAGUUGAGGUAGGCGGAAUGCGUGGUGUAGCGGUGAAAGGCUUAGAGAUCACGAAGAACCCCGAUUGCGAAGGCAGCUUACUAAGCUGUGACUGACAUUGAGGCACGAAAGUGUGGGUAUCAAACAGGAGUAGAUACCCGAGUAGUC
rnacentral:rRNA from 1 species